UACGUAGGGUGCAAGCGUUGUCCGGAAUUAUUGGGCGUAAAGAGCUCGUAGGCGGUUUGUCGCGUCUGCUGUGAAAACUCGGGGCUUAACCCCGGGCCUGCAGUAGGUACGGGCAGACUAGAGUGCGGUAGGGGAGACUGGAAUUCCUGGUGUAGCGGUGAAAUGCGCAGAUAUCAGGAGGAACACCGGUGGCGAAGGCGGGUCUCUGGGCCGAUACUGACGCUGAGGAGCGAAAGCGUGGGGAGCAAACAGG
rnacentral:rRNA from 1 species